UGCAUGGUGGCGCAGUUGGUAGCACUGUUGCCUUGCAGCGAGAAGGGCCUGGGUUCAAUUCCUGGCCGAAGGUCUUUCUGCAU